rnacentral:rRNA from 1 species
GAUGAACGCUGGCGGCGUGCCUAAUACAUGCAAGUCGAGCGAACAGACGAGGAGCUUGCUCCUCUGACGUUAGCGGCGGACGGGUGAGUAACACGUGGAUAACCUAUCUAUAAGACUGGGAUAACUUCGGGAAACCGGAGCUAAUACCGGAUAAUAUAUUGAACCGCAUGGUUCAAUAGUGAAAGACGGUUUUGCUGUCACUUAUAGAUGGAUCCGCGCCGCAUUAGCUAGUUGGUAAGGUAACGGCUUACCAAGGCAGCGAUGCGUAGGCGACCUGAGAGGGUGAUCGGCCACACUGGAACUGAGACACGGUCCAGACUCCUACGGGAGGCAGCAGUAGGGAAUCUUCCGCAAUGGGCGAAAGCGUGACGGAGCAACGCCGCGUGAGUGAUGAAGGUCUUCGGAUCGUAAAACUCUGUUAGUAGGGAAGAACAAAUGUGUAAGUAACUAUGCACGUCUUGACGGUACCUAAUCAGAAAGCCACGGCUAACUACGUG